AUGUACAAGUUCGGCUUUGUGAAUUGUGAUAUUGCUUCGGGGGCAUUUGCUCAUACUUUGUCUGGUCAUCGAGGUGUGUCGGUGUUCUCGUUUCAACUUCUAACUAACUGUUUUCUGUAUUAUUAUUUAUGCUGUGUGUUUCUUACAACAAGUGUUAGCUUAUAUUUUCAGUCAAGUUAUUUCAUAGUUAAUCUUAUAAGAGUAAAUAUCCUGUCUAAGAUGGUGCAGAUGAGGAUAAAUAUUUUUAAUUUAUUUAUGUAUAAUUUGGCCCCUUCAUAA